CUACAGAUAUUCUGGCUGCUCUGAUUCUGCCAAGACUCAGGACAGACUAAAGGCUCACUAGAACGAGGCCAGGCGUGUGUCCCCAGACCGAGUUCUUAACCUCCCCACGGCUGGUCUCGGAAAUGGGGAUAAGG